rnacentral:rRNA from 1 species
AGCGAACGCUGGCGGCAGGCUUAACACAUGCGAGUCGAGCGGGCACCUUCGGGUGUCAGCGGCAGACGGGUGGGUAACACGUGGGAACGUACCCUUCGGUUCGGAAUAACGCUGGGAAACUAGCGCUAAUACCGGAUACGCCCUUAUGGGGAAAGGUUUACUGCCGAAGGAUCGGCCCGCGUCUGAUUAGCUAGUUGGUGGGGUAACGGCCUACCAAGGCGACGAUCAGUAGCUGGUCUGAGAGGAUGAUCAGCCACACUGGGACUGAGACACGGCCCAGACUCCUACGGGAGGCAGCAGUGGGGAAUAUUGGACAAUGGGCGCAAGCCUGAUCCAGCCAUGCCGCGUGAGUGAUGAAGGCCUUAGGGUUGUAAAGCUCUUUUGUCCGGGACGAUAAUGACGGUACCGGAAGAAUAAGCCCCGGCUAACUUCGUG